CAUUGGUUGGAGAGUUUGCGUCAAAAAGUUGCCAGAGAGGCGCUUUCUCAGCAAAUCUCCCUGAGAGCGGAACCGACCUCAGCUCCAACUCAGCCUCCACCGUUAUUAAAAAUAAAAAUCGCUAGAGAAGCCCUCCUCAAGUCUACUUUGUAUGUAUCGCAGAGGGGCCCACGCGCGUCUCGAACUUGAACGACUUUCCUCGUUUUCUUUUCUUUAGAAAAAUAUUUUUCGUUGUUUGACUUUUUAUGGAACGAUGAAGAUUACAAGAUAUCUAACUCAAUACUCUUGAUUUCUUUUAGGAUAGCUGGCUAUUUGGAAUUUUGAAGGAUAAUUUGAUUUUUUUCCUCUAACCCCCCAUGUGGCUGUAAGUUCCACCACUCCAAACCCACCCACCAAGGACUCUGAAUCUGUCCAACCCGGGCGAAGCGAGACCUUCCGGCUGGGUCCCCCGGAUUUGGGCCGACUUUGCGCCUCCAAACAACCUUAGCAUGAUGUCUUAUCUUAAGCAACCGCCUUAUGCAGUCAAUGGGCUGAGUCUGACCACUUCGGGCAUGGACUUGCUGCAC
rnacentral:lncRNA from 1 species